UCCAGGAACUCAAGGGACGAU
rnacentral:piRNA from 1 species